ensembl:lncRNA
AUUUAAACCAACUAUUUACUUUUGGUUUCUUAAUUUUGUUAAAGGUAUUUUAAAUAUAUGAAAAAUUUUAAAUAGUGAAAUUUUUAACUCUUUAUUUUGUUAUAUACUACAGUAUUUAUGCCCUAAAAAUCCUUACUAUCAUGGAGUUCAGAAAAUUUUAUACUAUGUUUCUUUAGAAACAUUUGAUUGGUUUGUUUUGUAUAUUUAGAUACAGAAAACUGAUUUAUAUUUUGGUACCUGGUUAGAGAUAGGAUAUUGAAUUCAUUUUCCCCAUAUAAUGAGUCAUUUAUCUAAAAUACUCUGUGGAAAUUUUACCUGUGAUUAUUCCUCUAUUGGAGUUAUUCUGGUCUCUUCUACUUCAAGGCCAAUAUCAUAAUAUGUCAGUCUUUGGUAAAAACUUACCUUAUUCACUAUUCUUUUACUGUAGGACUGAGACUUAAAAUUUGGUAUCUUUUCUGUUUAAGUUUACUUUUCCAUUUGUCAGUGUCUAGGCUUCUUGUUUUGGUAGGUUUUAGCUAACUUAGUCAAAACUAUUAAAGAUAAUUUUUCAAUUCAAGAAAAUUUUUAAUGGUUUUUAUAUAUCAAGCUCUGCCAUCACAUUAGGAAUACUGAAGUGUAGCAGUCUUUCUUCUGUGAAAAUGUGUUAACCUGAUAGCAGUAGACACUAUAUGUAAACGAUCAGUAUAGUGGCCUACCAUUGGUAACUUUAUUUCUUUUCUCUAAGUCAGUCUACUCUUUUGUUAUUGACAACCUAUUGGGCUUAACCAUUUUAUAAAUUUUCCUUUUUCUUUUUACAUUUAGGACAUAAUAUUUGUUAUGUGAUACUACUUUAACAGAUUGAUUUUGGCAUACGAAAUAUGGUGACUUUUUCAUAAUCACAUAGUCUGUUUACUUUUUCUAAUUAACAAACUGAUAAUUAUGUCUUCCUCCUUUCAGUUCUGUAAAGGUUUACUGAGUUAUUGCUAGACACUAUUUAGGGAAAAUAAAGAUGAAUACCAUUGACCAAGUUUUAAUCUAGUGAGAAAAUCUAUAAUUUGUAAAAAGCAAUAGCAGGAUAAUAAAAUAAUAGUUACUGAGUGCAGCGUUUGCUGUAUGCUACCAUUAUACUAAGUAAGCAAGGUAAUAUGUGUCAUCUCAUUUAAUUGUACCACAGCCCAGAUAGUACCAAGAUAUUUUUUGAAUCUUUUCUUCACUUCUUCAAUAUUUUUUCAUUUUGUCACCUUUUCUGAGAAACUUUCCUGUCCAAACCUAUCUAAAAUAUCAGCCUGUGUAAAUCUCAGUGAUUUUACUUUGUAUAUUUGCCUUCAAUGUACUACUUAUAUGACAUCAUAAGCCUAAUAACUUAUUUGCUUAUUGUUUCCCUUGCUAGAAUAAUAUUGAAAGGAAGAAUAAAUAAUGAGGAGUUUAGAGUUUUUAAAGUGUACUUUAAUUUAAUUCAUAACAUAACUUCUUGUAAGCUUAACUUUCUUUAUCUGUUCAUAGAUGUAUACUUAAUAGCUGUUUCAUAGGCUUUUUAAACUGUAUUCUUUCACUCAGUAAAUAUUCAUUGAUCUUUAAGUACUGUAUAUGGCAGGCACUAGUCUUAGGAAUGGGGAUAUAGUGAAAAGGACCAAGUCCCUGUGCUUAUGGUACUUCAUUCUAGUGGAGGAGACAGAUAGCAGAUAAAUAAUAUUGUAUAAAUCAACUAAUGACCACAUAAAUUUUCUCCAAGGUAUCUUUCCCCACCUUGCCUUUACAAUCUAAAUAUUUUUUAUCAGUUGCUAAUCAUUCUGUAUAUCUGUCAUUAGUGGUGGCUCUGAUCUUAAUCUUCACAUUUCUAAUAUUCAAUGUCUUUCCUUAAAUUUUGUAUUGCAAAAAAAAUGUAAUAGUGCCCAUUUAUACCGAAUAUAACAGCACUGCCAUUUUCGUUUCUUGUACCUCAUUUGUCUAUUAAUACACCCUAAAACUCAGGUAUAUAAAUUUGGUUUGUUGUUUCUUUGUUUUCCCUUUGCAAAGAUAUUGCAUAUGUAUAUUAAUGAUCUAGUAAAUUAAAAUCCUUUUUAUUUUAAGGGGUGUUUCACUGUAGAUAUAUACUGGCUUAUAAGAUUAGUGCAUGUUUGUAUGUUGCAUUUCCAUUAGUAAAACUGCUUUUGAGACUUUGGCUGAAUCUCUGUGGAGAUUGUUAGUAAAUAUGACAUCAAGGUCAUCACUGAGAUUUCAUAGCAUAUUUAGAGCAAUCAUUUUCCAAGGACAUAUAUAAUAUCAAACUCAAUUUUUAAUAGAAGAAUUGUUUCUAGUUACAUAUUUUAUAGUCAAACUCAUCAAUUUGUCUUCAAAGGCACCUUUAACAUGCUGCCUGAUCAACAGCUCCCAGUAUUAGUUUCAAUUCUGUAAUAUGCAAUGCAUUGGGUAGAAAGAAAUUUGGUAGUAACUGUCCCAUUCGAUGGGCAUUACUACCUCCAUGUCUGAAUAGGACUCUUCUAUUAGCUUUGCUGCUAAGACAGGAAAUAUAAAGCAAUGUUCUGAUAUCAGUAUUUAGGUUGGAUAUAUGUGCCACAUUUUACUGAAUACUUGUACUGCACAUGUACAUCCAAAUGUGUUAGCUUUUACUUUCUUUUAAAAAGUACUGAUAUUAACUGGCAUGUACAAACUCAACCAUCUACUCCUCAGAAACACGUGAUGGAACUGCAAAAUGUUUCCUUGACAGAUUUCUAAUUUUAAGUAUUUAUUUUUUAGAUACAUAAAAAGAAGUGUUAAGAAUUGCCCUUUGAGAGUCUGAAGGCUGAAGGUAAUGUCCAAUAAUGUUUUCUUGAAUGGAUUUUAUCUCUUCAAAAUGCUUCAUGAUAUUUAAGGCCUUAGAUUUACUAUCUCGGGUCUUUAUUGCCUUUUAACACAUUAAAUGUUUUUAUAUAUCAACCUAAAAUAAUUUGAAAUUAUAAAUACAAGAGAAUAAACCUUGGGUUAUCUCAGAAUAUUUCAGCCUACUUGGGUGUUGCUAUACACCUUCUUCUAUGUAGAAAUAUAUUUUAUUCCUUCAUUUUUUUAGUUUGUAAUUCUUCUUGUUUUUUCCUUAAGUAGACUUAACAGCUCACAAGAAAAAAGAAAGUACACAUUUUUCCUCAGGAAUUGCUUUACAACUUACUACAAGAGAUAAAAAUGUAUUUGUUGGGGACAACAGAACUCUUCAGGUGACAUUUAAUGGCAACUGAUAGACAGAAGUCCAGAAUUUCAGGCUGAGUCUUGCUACAUACUUCAAGCUGGCCUUGAACUCACUUUGUAGCCCAGGCUGGCCUCUAACUCUUGGGAAUCCUCCUGCCUUAGCCUCCCUCCUGAGUACUGGGAUUAUAGACAUGCUCCACCAAGCCCACCUCUUUUCAUAGGACUUUCACAGUACUCAUAGUUCUCUUCUAGCAGAUGUUUACUUUAUUACAGAGGUACCAUACUAAUUCUUUUACAUGACCAUUACGCUGAUCUGUAUAACCAACCCUUUAAAGUAUGUAAUCUGAUCACUGUUUUAUACACAGGAAAAAUAUAACUUGUUCAAAAUCACAAAUUGAAGAGGUUCACCUGGAAUUGUAUUCCAGGACUGUCUGAUGGCAAAAGCUAAUCACUUUAACCAUCACCCUACCUCAUAACUCAGCUGCUACCCAGAGCUCCAUGAACAUGGUCUAUGGAUCAUUGAUGACAUAAAUAGCUUUUCUUAGCACUUGUCACCACUUAACAAUGCUGACUCCAUCCACCUCAGCUCCAUAACUCUCCUGGGCCACUGGCUUCAGAGAGGCAAAGUUUAUAGUUACAGGACACAAAGAAAAUGGCCUGCUAUUGAG